rnacentral:lncRNA from 1 species
GAUCUACAUAGUUAAAGCUGUGGGGGUCUCUGAAAGUCUUGAUAUGUCCUCAAGAUUCUUUUUAGUGCCCUGUGAACACAGCCUCCUUUCAAGCCAUGUGGGCCUGCUCACCAUUCCACUUUGAUCCAUUCAUACUCUCUCAAGUGACCAGGAAAAGCCUACAGCCCCAUGUUGGGGGCUAAGGAGGCAGCUAAAACAAGGCACCUGGUAAUAAAACAUUACCA